rnacentral:rRNA from 1 species
UGCUGGAGGUAUCAGAAGUGCGAAUGCUGACAUAAGUAACGAUAAAGCGGGUGAAAAGCCCGCUCGCCGGAAGACCAAGGGUUCCUGUCCAACGUUAAUCGGGGCAGGGUGAGUCGACCCCUAAGGCGAGGCCGAAAGGCGUAGUCGAUGGGAAACAGGUUAAUAUUCCUGUACUUGGUGUUACUGCGAAGGGGGGACGGAGAAGGCUAUGUUAGCCGGGCGACGGUUGUCCCGGUUUAAGCAUGUAGGCUGGUUGUCCAGGCAAAUCCGGAUAAUCAAGGCUGAGGUGUGAUGACGAGGCACUACGGUGCUGAAGUAACAAAUGCCCUGCUUCCAGGAAAAGCCUCUAAGCAUCAGGUAACAUCAAAUCGUACCCCAAACCGACACAGGUGGUCAGGUAGAGAAUACCAAGGCGCUUGAGAGAACUCGGGUGAAGGAACUAGGCAAAAUGGUGCCGUAACUUCGGGAGAAGGCACGCUGGUGUGUAGGUGAAGUCCCUGCGGAUGGAGCUGAGACCAGUCGAAGAUACCAGCUGGCUGCAACUGUUUAUUAAAAACACAGCACUGUGCAAACACGAAAGUGGACGUAUACGGUGUGACGCCUGCCCGGUGCCGGAAGGUUAAUUGAUGGGGUUAUCCGUAAGGAGAAGCUCUUGAUCGAAGCCCCGGUAAACGGCGGCCGUAACUAUAACGGUCCUAAGGUAGCGAAAUUCCUUGUCGGGUAAGUUCCGACCUGCACGAAUGGCGUAAUGAUGGCCAGGCUGUCUCCACCCGAGACUCAGUGAAAUUGAACUCGCUGUGAAGAUGCAGUGUACCCGCGGCAAGACGGAAAGACCCCGUGAACCUUUACUAUAGCUUGACACUGAACAUUGAGCCUUGAUGUGUAGGAUAGGUGGGAGGCUUUGAAGCGUGGACGCCAGUCUGCGUGGAGCCAACCUUGAAAUACCACCCUUUAAUGUUUGAUGUUCUAACGUUGGCCCCUUACCGGGGUUGCGGACAGUGUCUGGUGGGUAGUUUGACUGGGGCGGUCUCCUCCCAAAGCGUAACGGAGGAGCACGAAGGUUAGCUAAUCCUGGUCGGACAUCAGGAGGUUAGUGCAAUGGCAUAAGCUAGCUUGACUGCGAGCGUGACGGCGCGAGCAGGUGCGAAAGCAGGUCAUAGUGAUCCGGUGGUUCUGAAUGGAAGGGCCAUCGCUCAACGGAUAAAAGGUACUCCGGGGAUAACAGGCUGAUACCGCCCAAGAGUUCAUAUCGACGGCGGUGUUUGGCACCUCGAUGUCGGCUCAUCACAUCCUGGGGCUGAAGUAGGUCCCAAGGGU